AGGCGGUCGCACGGGAGUCCGGGGACGGGCUGAGAGGGAGCUGCUGCUCCGACCGUUGGACCUGAUCCGGGUCAUGCCGGCGCAGGGAGCGUGGGAGAUGUCUGU
rnacentral:ncRNA from 1 species